AACCUUGCGAUCUAAGACUUCGAUCCUUCAACUCCAUUUUACUGAUUAUAUUUGCGCGAAAUAUUAAUAAAUACUAGAAAAGUUAGGGAAAUCGAAUGGGAAAUGUUUUUUUGUGAGAGGAGUAAAGACACGGCUUUAUGAAACACGUGAUGAGAAUGAGCCUGAGAAAGUCUGUCUCGGACUCACCCAGGAGAUGCACGUGAGCCUGUGACUGUGCUUUGCUCUCCAUUAGGAAACCCAAGGGUUUUGACUCCUGCAAUCAAUUUAAUUGCCCUUGGCCGCUCCUAUGCCAUUACGACUUGUGGCUACCAACAUCACCUUGUUCUCCCAUCAUAACGCGAAGGGAACCGUUGUGGUGCGUCAAGGGCUUCAACUUCGUUUAAUUUCAAGAAGUAAAAUCCCGUGAACGAGCCAAGUCUGGCGACGAAGACAUGGCGAGAUCACGGUUGGAAUUGGACGCCUGUCGCUUUGAUGUGGAGCCGCUGACCAUCCGCUUCCUGCGGACUCUCAAGGAGCUGCUGAAGUUUGUGCUCUUCAGCUAUACAGUGCUUUUGGGAGCACUUCUGCUAGCAGGAUGGACAACAUAUUUCAUGGUUGCAAAGUAAAGUACACAAACGACACCAGGCUAUUGUGUGAAAACGGUACUCUUACGAAAGUAUAUUUCUGUAAGGUGGAAAUUGUCGAAUGCUCCACAGUUGUUCUUUGCUGAAUGCAUAACGCAUCAAUGAAUCAUGUCUGUCAAUAUAAAUAUUUUAAUCGUUGAAAAGUUACAUGUGUGGAACGAAGUGGAAAUUCAUUCUGGUCAUUACAAGUAGGCUUGCUUGAAUAUUAAUAAAAUGCACGAAAAAU